rnacentral:rRNA from 1 species
GAACGCUGGCGGCAGGCCUAACACAUGCAAGUCGAACGGUAACAUUUCUAGCUUGCUAGAAGAUGACGAGUGGCGGACGGGUGAGUAAUGCUUGGGAACUUGCCUUUGCGAGGGGGAUAACAGUUGGAAACGACUGCUAAUACCGCAUAAUGUCUUCGGACCAAACGGGGCUUCGGCUCCGGCGCAAAGAGAGGCCCAAGUGAGAUUAGCUAGUUGGUAAGGUAACGGCUUACCAAGGCGACGAUCUCUAGCUGUUCUGAGAGGAAGAUCAGCCACACUGGGACUGAGACACGGCCCAGACUCCUACGGGAGGCAGCAGUGGGGAAUAUUGCACAAUGGGGGAAACCCUGAUGCAGCCAUGCCGCGUGUGUGAAGAAGGCCUUCGGGUUGUAAAGCACUUUCAGUUGUGAGGAAAAGUUAGUAGUUAAUACCUGCUAGCCGUGACGUUAACAACAGAAGAAGCACCGGCUAACUCCGUGCCAGCAGCCGCGGUAAUACGGAGGGUGCGAGCGUUAAUCGGAAUUACUGGGCGUAAAGCGCACGCAGGCGGUUUGUUAAGCUAGAUGUGAAAGCCCCGGGCUCA